rnacentral:rRNA from 1 species
UACGUAGGGCGCGAGCGUUGUCCGGAUUUAUUGGGCGUAAAGAGCUCGUAGGCGGCUUGUUGCGUCGACCGUGAAAACCCGGGGCUCAACUUCGGGCUUGCGGUCGAUACGGGCGGGCUAGAGUUCGGUAGGGGAGACUGGAAUUCCUGGUGUAGCGGUGAAAUGCGCAGAUAUCAGGAGGAACACCGGUGGCGAAGGCGGGUCUCUGGGCCGAUACUGACGCUGAGGAGCGAAAGCGUGGGGAGCGAACAGG